CAGGACCAUUCCCGAUUAAAAUUUGUCAAAAGUCUGAUCAAGAUCCUGUGAAUCGUGGAUGGAAAUUCGAUUUGUAUCUUUCGCCAGGUAAAUUUCGACCGAGUCUGUCACAACUGCGUCCCGAUUCUACCGAAUGUAAUCCGACAGAGAUCAGAUAGUGACAAGACAGUGAACCGACGCUGACGGAAGUUAUCCGUUCGAAAACUGUUGGCAUAAUCGAGAUGAUCGGGUACUGUCGGAACGUAAUCCUAUCACGGUCCGCUCUAUCGCAUUGCAAACGGCUUUGUCUGGUCUCAGUCGUAUUGUAUUCUGUUAUUAUCGGGACUUCUCCAGAUCAUUCCCGUUCCACAGGACACCGUCCCGAAAACACAGAACAUUGUUAGGAAUUCGAUCCGAUACAGCAGAAUCUGUCACGACAUAGGCACGAUUGUAAUCCGACUAGACAAAAUCGGCUGAGUUUCCC
rnacentral:lncRNA from 1 species